rnacentral:rRNA from 1 species
GACGAACGCUGGCGGCGUGCCUAAUACAUGCAAGUAGAACGCUGAAGGAGGAGCUUGCUCUUCUGGAUGAGUUGCGAACGGGUGAGUAACGCGUAGGUAACCUGCCUGGUAGCGGGGGAUAACUAUUGGAAACGAUAGCUAAUACCGCAUAACAGUAGAUGUUGCAUGACAUUUACUUAAAAGUUGCAAUUGCAUCACUACCAGAUGGACCUGCGUUGUAUUAGCUAGUUGGUGGGGUAACGGCUCACCAAGGCGACGAUACAUAGCCGACCUGAGAGGGUGAUCGGCCACACUGGGACGGAGACACGGCCCAGACUCCUACGGGAGGCAGCAGUAGGGAAUCUUCGGCAAGGGACGGAAGUCUGACCGAGCAACGCCGCGGGAGGGAAGAAGGUUUUCGGAUCGUAAAGCUCUGUUGUAAGAGAAGAACGAGUGUGAGAGUGGAAAGUUCACAGUGUGACGGUAUCUUACCAGAAAGGGACGGCUAACUACGUG